rnacentral:lncRNA from 1 species
CGUUCUCUCUCUCUCUCCUAAAAAAAUGUGUUCAUACACAUAAAAUGUGUAGGAAAAUACUAGUAAUAAAAUAAAAUAAUAGUUUAAUUUGAUAUAUUGGGUAGAGAGUAAAACUUUAGAAGAUGUCAAAAUGCUACAGAGGCUAUCAAAUUUAAAUUUUAUGUUCAAAAUUUGAAAUAUCAUUUAGAAAUACUCUUAGUUGAUUUGUCCACUCCCUAGG